UACGUAGGGUCCAAGCGUUAUCCGGAAUUACUGGGCGUAAAGAGUUGCGUAGGUGGUAAGUUAAGCGAGUAGUGAAAUGACGCGGCUCAACCGUGUGUCCAUUACUUGAACUGGCUAACUAGAGGAUGAGAGAGGUUAUUGGAAUUCCUGAUGUAGGGGUAAAAUCCGUUGAUAUUAGGAGGAACACCGAUGGCGUAGGCAGAUAACUGGCUCAUUCCUGACACUCAGGCACGAAAGCGUGGGGAGCAAACAGG
rnacentral:rRNA from 1 species